rnacentral:rRNA from 1 species
CCUACGGGAGGCAGCAGUGGGGGAUAUUGCACAAUGGGGGAAACCCUGAUGCAGCGACGCCGCGUGGGUGAAGAAGUAUUUCGGUAUGUAAAGCCCUAUCAGCAGGGAAGAAAGAAGACGGUACCUGACUAAGAAGCCCCGGCUAACUACGUGCCAGCAGCCGCGGUAAUACGUAGGGGGCGAGCGUUAUCCGGAUUCACUGGGUGUAAAGGGAGCGUAGACGGCCGUGCAAGCCAGGAGUGAAAGCCCGGGGCCCAACCCCGGGACUGCUCUUGGAACUGUGCGGCUGGAGUGCGGGAGGGGCAGGCGGAAUUCCUGGGGUAGCGGUGAAAUGCGUAGAUAUCAGGAGGAACACCGGCGGCGAAGGCGGCCUGCUGGACCGCGACUGACGUUGAGGCUCGAAAGCGUGGGGAGCGAACAGGAUUAGAUACCCGUGUAGUC